rnacentral:rRNA from 1 species
UACGGAGGGGGCUAGCGUUGUUCGGAAUUACUGGGCGUAAAGCGCACGUAGGCGGACUGUUAAGUCGGGGGUGAAAUCCUGGGGCUCAACCUCAGAAUUGCCUCCGAUACGGGCAGGCUGGAGUUCGGUAGGGGAGACUGGAAUUCCUGGUGUAGCGGUGAAAUGCGCAGAUAUCAGGAGGAACACCGGUGGCGAAGGCGGGUCUCUGGGCCGAUACUGACGCUGAGGAGCGAAAGCGUGGGGAGCGAACAGG